rnacentral:misc_RNA from 1 species
GGAAAAUAUUCGAGUAGCUGAACAGAAGUUAAAGGAAGCACAUCGACAAACUCAACAUGAGCAGGGAUCAACAAGUCGAAGUCAAGAAUCCCAAAACCAUUCUGGUGGUGGAAGGUCAAGGAGUGACAGCCCUCCAUCUCCUCCCUUCCAUUCUAUGCCAUUUAACGUCACUCUACCUUCCGAACUUUCAAACAUGUUUAUGAACAUGGCUGCCAAUGCUACAAACCCAUUCCAUGGGCAACAUUCCGAAGACAGUGGAGAAGAGAAUAGAAGCAGCAAUGGUUCAGGAAAUCCCGGAACGAAUAUGGAUGCAAAUUUCAGUUU